GAUGAACGCUGGCGGCGUGCCUAAUACAUGCAAGUCGAGCGAACGGACGAGAAGCUUGCUUCUCUGAUGUUAGCGGCGGACGGGUGAGUAACACGUGGAUAACCUACCUAUAAGACUGGGAUAACUUCGGGAAACCGGAGCUAAUACCGGAUAAUAUUUUGAACCGCAUGGUUCAAAAGUGAAAGACGGUCUUGCUGUCACUUAUAGAUGGAUCCGCGCUGCAUUAGCUAGUUGGUAAGGUAACGGCUUACCAAGGCAACGAUGCAUAGCCGACCUGAGAGGGUGAUCGGCCACACUGGAACUGAGACACGGUCCAGACUCCUACGGGAGGCAGCAGUAGGGAAUCUUCCGCAAUGGGCGAAAGCCUGACGGAGCAACGCCGCGUGAGUGAUGAAGGUCUUCGGAUCGUAAAACUCUGUUAUUAGGGAAGAACAUAUGUGUAAGUAACUGUGCACAUCUUGACGGUACCUAAUCAGAAAGCCACGGCUAACUACGUGCCAGCAGCCGCGGUAAUACGUAGGUGGCAAGCGUUAUCCGGAAUUAUUGGGCGUAAAGCGCGCGUAGGCGGUUUUUUAAGUCUGAUGUGAAAGCCCACGGCUCAACCGUGGAGGGUCAUUGGAAAUUGGAAAACUUGAGUGCAGAAGAGGAAAGUGGAAUUCCAUGUGUAGCGGUGAAAUGCGCAGAGAUAUGGAGGAACACCAGUGGCGAAGGCGACUUUCUGGUCUGUAACUGACGCUGAUGUGCGAAAGCGUGGGGAUCAAACAGGAUUAGAUACCCUGGUAGUCCACGCCGUAAACGAUGAGUGCUAAGUGUUAGGGGGUUUCCGCCCCUUAGUGCUGCAGCUAACGCAUUAAGCACUCCGCCUGGGGAGUACGACCGCAAGGUUGAAACUCAAAGGAAUUGACGGGGACCCGCACAAGCGGUGGAGCAUGUGGUUUAAUUCGAAGCAACGCGGAGAACCUUACCAAAUCUUGACAUCCUUUGACAACUCUAGAGAUAGAGCCUUCCCCUUCGGGGGACAAAGUGACAGGUGGUGCAUGGUUGUCGUCAGCUCGUGUCGUGAGUUGUUGGGUUAAGUCCCGCAACGAGCGCAACCCUUAAGCUUAGUUGCCAUCAUUAAGUUGGGCACUCUAAGUUGACUGCCGGUGACAAACCGGAGGAAGGUGGGGAUGACGUCAAAUCAUCAUGCCCCUUAUGAUUUGGGCUACACACGUGCUACAAUGGACAAUACAAAGGGCAGCGAAACCGCGAGGUCAAGCAAAUCCCAUAAAGUUGUUCUCAGUUCGGAUUGUAGUCUGCAACUCGACUACAUGAAGCUGGAAUCGCUAGUAAUCGUAGAUCAGCAUGCUACGGUGAAUACGUUCUCGGGUCU
rnacentral:rRNA from 1 species